rnacentral:rRNA from 1 species
CCUACGGGAGGCUGCAGUGGGGAAUAUUGCACAAUGGGGGAAACCCUGAUGCAGCGACGCCGCGUGAGCGAUGAAGGAAUUCGUUUCGUAAAGCUCUGUCCAAGGGGAAGAUAAUGACAGUACCCUUGGAGGAAGCCCCGGCUAAAUACGUGCCAGCAGCCGCGGUAAUACGUAUGGGGCGAGCGUUGUCCGGAAUUAUUGGGCGUAAAGGGUACGUAGGCGGUUAGAUAAGUCAGAUGUAAAAGCGUGGGGCUCAACCCCAUAAAGCAUUUGAA